rnacentral:tRNA from 1 species
GGUGGUGUGGCCGAGUGGCUAGGCAGCGGACUGCAAAUCCGUGUACGGGGAUUCGAAUUCCUCCACCACCUCCA